rnacentral:rRNA from 1 species
GACGAACGCUGGCGGCGUGCCUAACACAUGCAAGUCGAACGAAGCUUGACGAACGAUUCUUCGGAUGAAUUCUGAUAUGACUGAGUGGCGGACGGGUGAGUAACGCGUGAGCAACCUGCCCUUCAGAGGGGGAUAGUGUCUGGAAACGGACAGUAAUACCGCAUAAUGUACAUUGAUGGCAUCUUCGAUGUACCAAAGCUUUUGCGCUGAAGGAUGGGCUCGCGUCUGAUUAGAUAGUUGGUGGGGUAAUGGCCUACCAAGUCGACGAUCAGUAGCCGGACUGAGAGGUUGAACGGCCACAUUGGGACUGAGACACGGCCCAGACUCCUACGGGAGGCAGCAGUGGGGAAUAUUGCACAAUGGGCGCAAGCCUGACGGAGCAACGCCGCGUGAGUGAUGACGGCCUCGG